AAAUAACAAAAUGCUCCGCUGGGCGCAGCUUGAUACGACCGCAGAGGUCGAACCCUGAACAGUUGGGGCAAGUAUGGACACAGCAUUCAAGCUUGAUACAGCUCUGAAUUUGGAUUGUGAUUAAAUAUUUGACACAGCAUAGGUUUCUGACACAGAAUGAAUGUGGUCUAAGAACUUAAAAAUUUUAAAUUGGACAUUCACCUAUUAUGGUCCAAUAUCCAAAAUCUAAAUACAUGGUUAGAUUCAGCAUAUCAAAGAACCCCAAGAAUUCAAUUUUUGAUGAAAUCAAACAAAGUUUAAUUUUGGACCCUUUUU